UACGUAGGGCGCAAGCGUUGUCCGGAAUUAUUGGGCGUAAAGAGCUCGUAGGCGGCUUGUCACGUCGGUUGUGAAAGCCCGGGGCUUAACCCCGGGUCUGCAGUCGAUACGGGCAGGCUAGAGUGUGGUAGGGGAGAACGGAAUUCCUGGUGUAGCGGUGAAAUGCGCAGAUAUCAGGAGGAACACCGGUGGCGAAGGCGGUUCUCUGGGCAUGUCCUGACGCUGAGGAGCGAAAGUGUGGGGAGCGAACAGG
rnacentral:rRNA from 1 species